UGGGGACCAGGCAAUCUCAUUAUUUCUAGCGUCUCAUGGCCGUGUUUGCGUGUUUUGCAAGCCAUGCCCUGUUUUUUUUUGGUAUUUUUACUGCAGUUGGUAAACUGUGUUGGUAGCAGUGCUAUCUACCUGUAGCUGUUGUGCUAUUUCUGAAGUUGUUUGGUUUCCUGAAAUAUUUUGCUAUUGUUUCUUGAAGUUGAAGAAAUUUUGUUGCUGUUAUGAUCUGGUGAUGUGGAGCAAGGCCUCGGAGUCUAGUGCUUCCAUGAGGUGCCCAGGUUCCCACGGUUCAGGCAUGAAAGUGACUAUCCGUUAGCUGGAUCAACUGCUAUUAUAUGUGUUGUCUCUUAGCUUGGAGGAUUUCCAGUUGGUGGAGCUGGCUAGGAGGUAGCCGUGGCUGCCAUAUCUAUCUGUUUGGCAGCAGCGGCCUUCGUCUUCGACUUGGUGGGUUUAGUUGAAGGAUAUAUAUAUCGUGGAGAACGGGUGGAUGGCAGCAAGGAAGCUGCAGUGCGAUGCGUCAUCUGGAUGUGACCUGGAAGAGACAAUGAAGGAAGCAGCUGACUUGAGUACACGCAUUGCUGUGUCUGUGCAGCAACUAUAUUUAUUCAAUCGGGAUGUAGUGUAAUGCAGCACCGCCUGUAAUUCAGAUUCAGAGGAAUCUCGUAUGGCAUCUUGUCCGUGUUGUAUGUAACCGAGACCGUCCUAGGAUGGGGUUGCGGAUGCAUCAGCUUUUGCUUUGCUUUGAUGCUGAUGGCGGUUGGGUUUUUUUUUUUGUCCCCAUUGAUUGGAUCGAGUUGGGGUUGAAUGUGCAUGCCAAGCGUGUGUGUUGAAUUGAAGUAUGGUAUUUGCUGUGCAGGUUUGGAUGCCAAAAUUUUGAGCA